UAGGGAAUAUUGGGCAAUGGGCGAAAGCCUGACCCAGCCAUGCCGCGUGCAGGAUGAAGGUUCUAUGAAUUGUAAACUGCUUUUGUCUGGGACGAAUAAGCUCCUUUCUAGGAGAAUUGACGGUACCAGAAGAAUAAGCACCGGCUAACUACGUGCCAGCAGCCGCGGUAAUACGUAGGGUGCAAGCGUUAUCCGGAUUUACUGGGUUUAAAGGGUGCGUAGGUGGAUAAAUAAGUCAGUGGUGAAAUCUUUCGGCUUAACCGAGAAACUGCCAUUGAAACUGUCUAUCUUGAGUAUGGUUAAGGCAAGUGGAAUAUAACAUGUAGCGGUGAAAUGCUUAGAUAUGUUGUAGAACACCAAUUGUGAAGACAGCUUGCUGGACCAUCACUGACACUGAGGCACGAAAGCGUGGGUAGCGAACAGG
rnacentral:rRNA from 1 species